CGCACAUCGCGCCCUUUGGCAUUCCGGGGGGCACGCCUGUUCGAGCGUCAUUAGACCAAUCAAGCCCGGCUUGGUAUUGGGUGUCCGUCCUCGCGGGACGCGCCCGGAAUACAGCGGCGGUGUCGCCGGGCGAGGAACGCAUUGGAAAAACUUCGUUCCCGUCCGUCCGGUGGCCCCGCCGUCGACAGGACACUCACGUGUCCGUCCCCCCUUGAAAUUUGACCUCGGAUCAGACGAGAAUACCCGCUGAACUUAA
rnacentral:misc_RNA from 1 species